rnacentral:rRNA from 1 species
UGGGGAAUAUUGCACAAUGGGCGCAAGCCUGAUGCAGCCAUGCCGCGUGUGUGAAGAAGGCCUUCGGGUUGUAAAGCACUUUCAGCGGGGAGGAAGGCGUUAAGGUUAAGAACCUUGGCGAUUGACGUUACCCGCAGAAGAAGCACCGGCUAACUCCGUGCCAGCAGCCGCGGUAAUACGGAGGGUGCAAGCGUUAAUCGGAAUUACUGGGCGUAAAGCGCACGCAGGCGGUCUGUCAAGUCGGAUGUGAAAUCCCCGGGCUCAACCUGGGAACUGCCUUCGAAACUGGCAGGCUCGAGUCUUGUAGAGGGGGGUAGAAUUCCAGGUGUAGCGGUGAAAUGCGUAGAGAUCUGGAGGACUACCGGUGGCGAAGGCGGCCCCCUGGACAAAGACUGACGCUCAGGUGCGAAAGCGUGGGGAGCAAACAGG